ACCACAGUCAUACCACCCUAAACAUGCCCAGUCUCGUCCCACCUAGGGAGCUAAGUAGGGCCAGGCCUGGUUAGUAUGUGGAUGAGAGAAAAAACACCCUCCAUAAAAAGAAAUCUACUCAAGAGCUGUCUGUU
rnacentral:rRNA from 14 species